CUAGGAUAGUUUGUAAUAGCAGGCACACCUUCCACCAAAUCAUCAUUUAGUUAUACUGAUCAGAUAUAAAUAGUGUAUAUCAGCCUUAGGAGAGAUAGGAGGUCAGGUGGGGGCAGAACAGCGGAUUUCAGGAGUUCCAAAAUGAAGACUUGGUAAUGAGCUGCAUUAAAUGGAAUUACAGAUGGGGACAGAAUUGAAGCCUGGUAAGUAUGAGUCCAGAAGGUAAAGAGAGGAGCAGGAGAAGAGAGUGUGGGAGUUUACCAUCAAUAUAACUGAUUUAGAGCCAUCUAGGGUAGCUGAGACAAGAACAGAGGUCAGAAGAAAAUGAUAAACUGAGAUGAAAGGAGUGACCUGUAAGUGUAUUUAGGAUACAAAAGCCAGAAGUCAGAAGCCAAGCGAGUUUGGAGAAUAAAUGGACAAAUCAUUUGGAGAACACUACGGCCAAAGCUUCAAAGAAAGAUUGUUACACACGUGCUGUAACAGAAAAGGGCGACUCAAUGAUGGGGAAACCACAGAGCAAAGUUUAGUCUUGAUUAGAAGAAAAAAAUUAAAGGGACACCAAAACAACUUUAGCUUAAGGAAGCAGUUUUAGUGUAUAGAUCAUUAUCCUGUAGUCUCACUGCUCAAAUCUCUGUAAUUUAGGAGUUAAAUCCCUUUUGUUUCUGUCCAUGCAGCCCUAGUCACCCCUCCCCUGACUGUGAC